rnacentral:rRNA from 1 species
GUAGGUGGCAAGCGUUGUCCGGAAUUAUUGGGCGUAAAGCGUGCGCAGGCGGUCCUUUAAGUCUGAUGUGAAAGCCCACGGCUCAACCGUGGAGGGUCAUUGGAAACUGGGGGACUUGAGUACAGAAGAGGAAAGCGGAAUUCCAAGUGUAGCGGUGAAAUGCGUAGAGAUUUGGAGGAACACCAGUGGCGAAGGCGGCUUUCUGGUCUGUAACUGACGCUGAGGCGCGAAAGCGUGGGGAGCAAACAGGAUUAGAUACCCUGGUAGUCCACGCCGUAGACGAUGAGUGCUAAGUGUUAGGGGGUUUCCCGCCCCUUAGUGCUGCAGCUAACGCAUUAAGCACUCCGCCUGGGGAGUACGGCCGCAAGGCUG